rnacentral:rRNA from 1 species
AANGCAGCGGCUGCUACCAUGCAGUCGACGAUGAUCCUCAGCUUGCUGGGGGGAUUAGUGGCGAACGGGUGAGUAACACGUGAGUAACCUGCCCUUGACUCUGGGAUAAGCCUGGGAAACUGGGUCUAAUACCGGAUACGACCAUCUGGCGCAUGUCAUGGUGGUGGAAAGCUUUUGUGGUUUUGGAUGGACUCGCGGCCUAUCAGCUUGUUGGUGGGGUAAUGGCCUACCAAGGCGACGACGGGUAGCCGGCCUGAGAGGGUGACCGGCCACACUGGGACUGAGACACGGCCCAGACUCCUACGGGAGGCAGCAGUGGGGAAUAUUGCACAAUGGGCGCAAGCCUGAUGCAGCGACGCCGCGUGAGGGAUGACGGCCUUCGGGUUGUAAACCUCUUUCAGUAGGGAAGAAGCGUAAGUGACGGUACCUGCAGAAGAAGCGCCGGCUAACUACGUGCCAGCAGCCGCGGUAAUACGUAGGGCGCAAGCGUUAUCCGGAAUUAUUGGGCGUAAAGAGCUCGUAGGCGGUUUGUCGCGUCUGCUGUGAAAGACCGGGGCUCAACUCCGGUUCUGCAGUGGGUACGGGCAGACUAGAGUGCAGUAGGGGAGACUGGAAUUCCUGGUGUAGCGGUGAAAUGCGCAGAUAUCAGGAGGAACACCGAUGGCGAAGGCAGGUCUCUGGGCUGUAACUGACGCUGAGGAGCGAAAGCAUGGGGAGCGAACAGGAUUAGAUACCCUGGUAGUCCAUGCCGUAAACGUUGGGCACUAGGUGUGGGGGACAUUCCACGUUUUCCGCGCCGUAGCUAACGCAUUAAGUGCCCCGCCUGGGGAGUACGGCCGCAAGGCUAAAACUCAAAGGAUUGACGGGGGCCCGCACAAGCGGCGGAGCAUGCGGAUUAAUUCGAUGCAACGCGAAGAACCUUACCAAGGCUUGACAUGAACCGGGAAAGACCUGGAAACAGGUGCCCGCUUGCCGGUCGGUUUACAGGUGGUGCAUGGUGUCGUCAGCUCGUGUCGUGAGAUGUGGGGUUAGUCCGCACGACGCACCCUCGUUCUAUGUGCAGCGCGUUAUGGCGGGGACUCAUAGAGACUGCGGGUCACUCGGAGUNUGGGGGACGACGUCAUCAUCAUGCCCUUAUUGUCUUGGCCUCACGCAUGCUACAUGGCGGUUACAAAGGGUGCNANCUGUGGAAGUUGNACUGAUCCAANANCGNCUCACUUCCGAAUAGAGGGGUGUGUCCAA